AACGAACGCUGGCGGCGCGCCUAACACAUGCAAGUCGAACGAGAAGGCGUAGCAAUACGCUUGUAGAGUGGCGAACGGGUGAGUAAUACGUGGGUGACCUACCCUCGAGUGGGGAAUAACCCGCCGAAAGGCGGGCUAAUGCCGCGUACGCUUCCGUCCUCACGGGGACGGAAGGAAAGCUGUACCGUGGGUACGGCGCUCAAGGAUGGGCUCACGUCCUAUCAGCUUGUUGGUAGGGUAACGGCCUACCAAGGCUACGACGGGUAGCUGGUCUGAGAGGACGAUCAGCCACACUGGCACUGCGACACGGGCCAGACUCUACGGGAGCAGCAGUGAGGAAUAUGCGCAAUGGGCAAAGCCUGACGCAGCGACGCCGCGUGGGGAUGAAGGUCUU
rnacentral:rRNA from 1 species